ensembl:lncRNA
UCUCGAAUCAAAUACAUUUUUGUUGAAAUAAGCAACAUUCAAAGUGGUAGUCUAAUCACUGGCUUGUUAGGUCAACUAAUACAUCCAUGCAGUUUGGUCAUUUUGCCACAAACUAGAACUGCAUUCAUUCAAAUUCAUAAAGGGGAAAAAGGAAUCAGAAAAAGAUAUCAGGAAAAUUACAAAGAUGUAAACAAAAGGAAUGCAUGGAGAAUAAAGGCAAGGCACGUUUAUCUGUAUAGCACAUUUCAACAACAACAGGGCAAUUCAAAGUGCUUUACAUAAAAACAUUAGAAGCAUUGGGAAGAAACAAUAAAAUCACAUCACAACAUAAUAAUUAAUCUAUCAUAAUCCCGUUGUCUGUUUUUUUCCGUGCCACAUUCCUUAGUCAGACCUCAGAGCCUCCAUAAUCCCCUUACAGCUACGACCCGCCCACUGGGCCCCCCUGGUGAUUGACAGCCGGCUCCUCCAACCAAGGCGGCGGCCGAGUCGCUCUGGAGCUCCUUCCCCUCCCUCCCUCCCUCCCUCCCAGUCCGACUUUGUUGCUCCGUCGCCCCGCUAGUCCUCCCGACUCCAGUCUCUCUCCGGGGAGCCAGAAGAACAGCUCGACGGAGUCCGCGACCAUGGAAGGCGACAACAUAAUAAUGCCUGUUUGACUACGGCGACAUUUGUUUUCUCCAAGUUUUGUUUCUCCCUUGCUCGCUCCUCACCCGUCCUCCUUUCUCUUUUCUGCUCCCCCUUUUAUUUUUGCUCCCCCCGUCUUGUUUUGCCCUUCGUCCAUCUGCUGCCCAUGCUUUCCCCUCCCUCCCACCCUCCCUGCUUUUGCUGUGUUUGUUGUCUUUAUGGAGCGUUAGCAGCCUUAAAGGAGGCCAAAUGUGUGUUAUCGAGCAUGGUAGUCCUAUCUGAUCUGGCAGGCAGGUAACAGAAAACAAAUGAGAGGGAAGCCAGGACCACACCAUCCAAUGUCUCUUAGAUGAGGACAUCUUCACAGUGAAGGUGAGUGUGUCCAAAUUCUCAUUUGAUUUGCUGAGGUGGUGAUGGGGUCUGUUAAUUUGUCAAUUAACCAGCCUUCACCAUAAGGGUCCCACCAAGACACUGAGUACUUACGUACUAUUUGAGACACAAGGUUUGUCUUCCAAGCUUAGUUAUAUACAUGUAUAUCAUAAGUUAUAGUGUAUAGCAUUUUAUAGCGUAAGAUUUAGUGGCAAACUCUUAUGGUCCUCAAUCGAGCCAGUGGUUUGGUUUGUCCAUUCUGGGCUACUGUAGAAACGUGGCUGUGCCACAUGGCCACGAAUAGAAGCAGCUCUCGCUAUCGAUAUACAGAACAAUUUUCAUAGUUUCAGUUGAUGAUGCACUGAGGAAAACAGCAUCCCUCAUUUUUCAAUUCAACGCAGUCAAAGCAUAACAUACAUUAUCUCAAGGCAUCAUGAGUUUUAUUUUCCCUUUCUGCUGAUAGAUCCCCGAAAUCCUACCUUCUGGACCUUUAACGUUUUUCUUCAUCUCAAGAUUGUUAGAUGUUCUUGUACGUUAGCAAAAAGGCUACAUUAAGUACUAUUUGUCCUUUUUAAUUGAUAAACAAAGUAUCACUUAAUAAUGUUAGCUGAUUUACCACUUGGUCUGAAUCCCGUCCACGCUCUGAUAUAACGUUAUCACAUUUACCACAUUCAAUACACAGAUGGCUAAACGUGGCGUUGUCUGCCAACUGCAGAUUUUGUUGAAAUUCCUGUGCCAAACCGAAUGUUCUUUUUCGAAGACAGUUUUAUAGCUGGGGUUAGGGUUGGUUGCAAUGAGUCAAGCAGGCGGCGUUUACAUCAUCGCCUUACAGAAACACUGCCCAGUGCUAAAAAACAAUGCUUUGCAAGAAACAAUCUGUCACUUCCAUCAAGCGUAGUCUGAUAUGAGAAAUGAUCCGUACAGCCUUUGAUUUAUUUUGCCAAAAUGCGUGGUGUUUCUAACACGUCAGAUCAAGGUUGUUUGUAUAUGAGAGUCAAAGAGAUACUGCAGCAUGAAAAUAUAGAGCACAAAACCAGCUCCUCACUGGGGAACCGACUGCCUGGCAGCUUUUAGAGGUUGAAGAACCAAACCUCCACGGAUUCAGCUGCAACACGAUGGAAAGACAAAAUAUUGAUCCAAGGUCAAAAAUAUGAUGCCUCUUUAACCUUUGUUAAAUAAGCCUAUUGGAUGACACAGACCCUGUUUGGUAAAUUGAUUUUUUUUAAAGGAACAUUUGG